rnacentral:rRNA from 1 species
GGGAAGCGACCUCGCGAGAGCAAGCGGACCUCAUAAAGUGCGUCGUAGUCCGGAUUGGAGUCUGCAACUCGACUCCAUGAAGUCGGAAUCGCUAGUAAUCGUGGAUCAGAAUGCCACGGUGAAUACGUUCCCGGGCCUU